rnacentral:rRNA from 1 species
CACGGGGGGAGCAAGCGUUGUUCGGAUUCAUUGGGCGUAAAGGGCUCGUAGGUGGCUUUGUAAGUCGGAGGUGAAAUCCCACGGCUCAACCGUGGACACGCCUUCGAAACUAUGAAGCUUGAGGCUGGGAGAGGAGAUCGGAAUUCCUGGUGUAGCGGUGAAAUGCGUAGAUAUCAGGAGGAACACCGGUGGCGAAGGCGGAUCUCUGGACCAGUUCUGACACUGAUGAGCGAAAGCCAGGGGAGCAAACAGG